GGAGAGAUGGCUGAGUGGACUA
rnacentral:miRNA from 1 species